GAUGAACGCUGGCGGCGUGCCUAAUACAUGCAAGUCGAGCGGACGGACGAUAAGCUUGCUUCUCUGAUGUUAGCGGCUGACGGGUGAGUAACGCGUGGAUAACCUACCUAUAUUACUGGGAUAACUUCGGGAAACCGUAUCUAAUACCGGAUAAUAUUUUGAACCGCAUGGUUCAAGGGUGAAAGACGGUCUUGCUGGCUCUUAUAGAUGGAUCCGCGCUGCAUUAGCUAGUGGGUAAGGUAACAGCUUACCAAGGCAACGAUGCAUAGCCGACCUGAGAGGGUGAUCGGCCACACUGGAACUGAGACACGGUCCAGACUCCUACGGGAGGCAGCAGUAGGGAAUAUUCCGCAAUGGGCGAAAGCCUGACGCAGCAACGCCGCGUGAGUGAUGAAGGUCUUCGGAUCGUAAAGCCCUGUUAUUAGGGAAGAACAGAUGUGUAAGUAAAUGUGGACAUCUUGACGGUACCUAAUCAGAAAGCAACGGCUAACUACGUG
rnacentral:rRNA from 1 species